CACUAAUCACGUUCUGAUGAAAUUCUUUUUACUGGUUUGUCUUCUUCACCAAACCCUCAGACCUCUCACGCUCCUCCAGUGGCAUGGCCAGAUGGUUUCUAGCACCUCCAGAUGUGCACCAGACCAAUUGUUGGCAAUUCCUUUUUUCCCCAAGAGUUUCAGCAAAAUACCUUGGAUCGGAUCUCAUUGGAUCCAGCAAGCAGAAAAAUUAGCUGACGAGCCACUCCAGGCCUGGCACACGUGCCCACCACCGAGCCAGGCUCCCCUCGUAGACCUAAGGCUCUUGGGGACAAGAAACAGCGGCCACCGCAGGAAGUGGAAAGAGAGCGAACCAAGAGCAGUGGGUUCCAGGCCAGGCUCUGGCAUGAACUGGCACUCUCUCUGCUUUAUCUCAACAUCUCAUUUGUAAGAAAGUGUAGCUAAGAAUUAUUCAGCCAUUCUCUUGUGCUGAUCACUGCUUACAAUGAUUAAAGGAGACAAUUUAGGUGAUACAAACACAUUUAUUUAACACUUCAUGAAGCAGGCAGUCUCUGUUCGCAAGGGCCCAGAGAAUGGCAAAAUGGGGCAGAAGGCAGGAAGCUUUUGCAGGGUAGAGAAGAUGUGACAAGGAAGAGAAAAGUAGAAAAUACUUAAGGAACAGGAAAUGAGUGUAGAGCCCAGAGCUCCCUUGGCUUUCGGGGAUUGGCUGCCCGGAUAGACUGCAUUUCGGGUCUGGCAAAGCAUUUACACCAACACAAAAGCAGCCGCAAUUUCCUCUCGCUGACUUGGCCCCCCCACGCAGGAGUGGCUCCAUGCUGGGCCUAGAAGCUGAUUUCGACAGCACAUUGUGCCGACCUUCACGUGACUGAUCUCCCUGAACCACAGAAUAACUUUGUAAAGUACCUAGUAGUAUUCUCCGUCUAUUGUGCAGAUGGGGAAACUGAGGCUCAGAGGUUGACUCCAGAGCACACAGGAGAUAAGGGUUGGGACUAGUUUUGGACCCAGAGCCUAUGUAUUUCACUGUUUAACACAAUGAUUUCUAAAACCUCAAUACGCCAACCCCAUAUGCAGCUCAGAGUCACAUCCUAGAAACGCCAAUCUGACCCUGAGCCGUUUCAUUCUCCCCACUCUAGCUUAUCCACCUGACAUCUCUCUUCUUCCUGCUUCUACCCUCAGUACUUCUGGGUUGCCUGGAUACUGGGUUCCAGCAAAAGAGCUCCUGGUACCAAAAGCCCUCAUUCUAUUUUCUCUUCUUUUCUCGGCCCUGGAGAUACGAACUACUCUUGGUCCACACAGCUAAAUAUAUCUCCCUUAGGCUGAUGGCUUCUCAAAAGCUACUGAAAUAAUUCACCUAAAGUGCCCAUUUGUUGUGUGCUGAUUUGAAUAAAUAAAG